GUAACAAGGUUUCCGUAGGUGAACCUGCGGAAGGAUCAUUAAAGCGCCGCCGACGUCGACCCCAACCGCCUGGCUUGAGAUAUAGUCUAGGCGGUCCUGGAGGUCGCCGGCAGUUGCCCAUUCUUGUCUACUGACCCAGUUGCCUCGGUGUGCCGUUCCCUAGCGGACGGUCGGAAGCCCUAGGACCAGGUUGUCCCAGUGGCCCUGACCAGCGCACGCCGACGGACAGUCUAAAAUCUUUAUAUAUUGGCCCUCUGAGCGUAUAAGCAAAUCAAUUAAAACUUUCAACAACGGAUCUCUUGGUUCCGGCAUCGAUGAAGAACGCAGCGAAAUGCGAUAAGUAAUGUGAAUUGCAGAAUUCCGUGAAUCAUCGAAUCUUUGAACGCACAUUGCGCCCCCUGGUAUUCCGGGGGGCAUGCCUGUUCGAGCGUCAUUUCAACCCUCAAGCUCGGCUUGUGUGAUGGGCGAACGUCUGACCCUUGGGGGCGGGACGCGUCCGAAAAGCAGUGGCUAGGCCGCGACUCUGGCGCCUGAGCGAAUGGGAUUUCCAGCGCUUAUAGGACCAGCCGGCACUUGGCCUUUAACCAAUGCCCUAAUAGGCUAUCUAGGUUGACCUCGGAUCAGGUAGGGAUACCCGCUGAACUUAAGCAUAUCA
rnacentral:misc_RNA from 1 species